rnacentral:ncRNA from 1 species
AUCCUGACAUGGGGAGGUAGUGACAAUAAAUAACAAUACUGGGCUCAUCGAGUCUGGUAAUUGGAAUGAGUACAAUCUAAAUCCCUUAACGAGGAUCCAUUGGAGGGUUCACUGUCCCCUCCUAU